AAAAUCAAAUUUCCCCCCUUUUCCAAUUUGUAUAGGGUUUACUGUUUCUACAAAUUCCAUACCAAAAUCCAUAUAUACAUCGAAAAUUAACAAUGGAGAACGGUGAUGGAACAAAUGGGAAAAGGAUAAGGGCUGAAGAUGUGAUAUGUGAGCUCAAGGACGAUGGCGAUUUCGAUAAAUUUCGCCUCAAAAUUGUCAGUAUUUGCUCAUUCUUUGGUUUUGUUGUUUAGGGUACUGUUAAGAGUAUUUUUUAUCUUCGGUUUCUGUAUUGUUUUAUCUGUUUUUACAUCAAUUUACGCUAAAUCCUGAGUUGGGUUUUGUUCUUUUUACUCUAUCAAAAUUGUAUGUGAUUGGUAUUGGAAAUUCAGCAUAAUUAUUGGAUUUAAGUUAUAUACACUGGGAGUGAUGUUAGAGUAGAAGGUUAAUAGGCAGUAGAGUGUUGUUUUUGUAGUGUGUUAUUAUUAUUAUAAUUACUCCGAUGUAUGUGUAUCUUAUUCCUGGAUUUUAUUAUUACUUGUUGUUCUCUUGGUUUCAGUUAUUGUAGUGCUAGUUGUUGAUAAAGCUCUUCUAUUUUUUUUUUUUGAAAUGGCUUAUUUGCUGUUGCUUUGGUAUGUUUGAUAUGCUUUACUUGAGCUGAGGGUCUUUCGGAAACAACCUCUUUACCUUCACUUGGUACUUGGUAGGGCUAAGGUCUGCAUACAUAUUACCCUCCUAGACUCCAUUUGUGAGAUUACAAUGGGUAUGUUGUUGUUGUUGUACUCUGGGUGUGCGGCGAGGUGUGUAGUUUUUGUGGGCUGGGGGCCUUCAAUAGAGAAAAAAAGAUGAGGCAAGGGGUGUAGUUUUUCUAGGACGGGUGCUUUCUAUCGAGGAAAAAGGGUGUGUAUAGGUAGGCUCGAGCUAUAUAUUACUUUCCACCAGAAUGGGAAGACUGUGAUACGUGGCAUGUAGUUUCUCUGGUGUGGGUGCAGUAUACAGAAAAAAAAAAAAAAGGGGUGCAAAGAUAGGCUUAAGCUAAGAUUCCACUUGCGAGCAUAGUGGGCAGACUGUGGUAUAAGGCAUGUAGUUUUGCCUCCUAUAGAGAAAAAAAGAGGUGUGGGUAGACUGUGAUAUGACUUAUGAGGCAUGCAUUUCUGGGGCAGGUGCCUCCUGUUUAGGUGAAAAGAGGUGCAGGGGUAGGCUUGAGCUAAGAUUCGACUUGUGAACAUAGUGGGCAGACUGUGAUACUGACUAAUGGAACAGAGAUCAGGGUGAUCCAGUAGUUGAUGGAUACAAAUGUACAUUAAAUAAUUGUAGCAUUAUCAAUUCAACCUAAUUCUUAUUAACUGGCUGCACCAGGUCGCUAACCCUUCUUGCAGAGUACAAAUCUACGCUUAUACUAGAUUGCUAUUUGUCGUUUGUUUUUAAAUAGCUUGAUAAUCAUAUUGUCAGUGUAAAAAAUUAAACCUUUAAGACCAUAAUUGUGUAGCACACGUCCUACAUAUGUAGUUUUGCUUGUUUCAGCUAACAUUUGGAGACUUAACAUUAUUAAAAACAAAAAUCUGCUUCUCCUUAAUUUGAAAUCAUAGAAGUACAAACAAGGGGAACUAAGGACUUUACAGGAUGCAAAAAGGACUUACUGGCAGGAUUCUAGUGGCAUGUUAAACUUGAACAGGCCUUUACUUGAAAGCUUUAGUUCUGUUGCAUCUACUAUAAAAUUAUGUUAAACAGAACUAAUCGUACAAAAGGUCAAUCAACAAGCAUUCCAUAACUGAGGUUCUGACGUCUUCUCUUUUGCCAAAAGAAUACCUUGAUUAUUAAUCUAUUGGGUUGCUAGUUAAGCUAGACCAAUAGAAGCUUACUGCUCAGCUUGUAUUAGGGCUGGGUUUAAUUCAGUAUGAGUUGGUGCAAAGUAAUUUCAGAUUGAUUUUGACUAAAGGUACACUUCGUGCAAGUUCAGGGUGAAUUUGCUUAGAGUAAGAAUCUUUUAGUUGUUCUUUUCCAUCCCUACAAGAAGUUCUGGUAACAGCUGGUUAUAGUUGUAGUUCUGUCUCGGCUCUGUCUACCUCUGUGCAGUCUGGACUUUUUUUGAUAUUCA
rnacentral:lncRNA from 1 species